GCGCGAGUGGCGAAAUUGGUAUACGCGCAGCACUUAGGAUGCUGUGCCUUAGGGCGUGGGGGUUCGAGUCCCCCCUCGCGCACCA
rnacentral:tRNA from 1 species